GUUUUCACAGGGCAGCAGAGAAGGUAAUGGAAGGUGUUAUUUAUACUAAAAAAAUUGAAGCUUUUGGUUAUCAAUUGAUAUAUGGGGGCCAAUCAGGGGACGGUACUCGUACCAUUAGUAAUAAUUCUAAACUUGAUGACUAAGAUUCUCAUUUUUUCGAAGUCAAAGUAGUUAGAAUAUAAUGGAUGCUUUAUCAAAUGGUAACUUCCUUUGAAUGCUGUUCAGUUGUCAAGUUGAUUUCAGAAAGUUGUAUUGUGCACCUGCUCAUAAACAACACAGCUUUAGUGUACAUGAUGUUGGGAUUGCAAUGUUGAUGCAGCCUUGUAAAACCACUUAAGAAAUCUAUCAUUAACUUUUGGGGGACUCUUAUGUGCCUGGGGAUUAGUCAGUGGUGAAAGAGCUUUGGACACAUUGAAAUUGAAAAGAAGGAAUUAUUCAGUAUUGUUUCUUUCUUAGGAUGUCAUCUGAGUAAGUUCUGAUGGUUUCCAAGUAAAGUAUUGUUUAAGGAUGAUAAAACAUUUUAGAAAAUAUCUAUGUGAAAUAGUAGAUCAUUCAUAAGUCUCAAAAAAGUACCAAAGUGUCAUGGGAGACCACUGCACAUUGCAGCAACAUUAUGCUUGUGAAAAAUGAUAAAUCUCUAUCUUCCCUGAUUAGAGGUUUCAUGCAUUUGCAAGGCUUAUUGCCUUGUAUCCUCUAUGUGUGUUUGUGUGUGUUGCCAG
rnacentral:misc_RNA from 1 species